rnacentral:rRNA from 1 species
ACACUGAACAUUGAGCCUUGAUGUGUAGGAUAGGUGGGAGGCUUUGAAGUGUGGACGCCAGUCUGCAUGGAGCCGACCUUGAAAUACCACCCUUUAAUGUUUGAUGUUCUAACGUGGGCCCCUUACCGGGGUUGCGGACAGUGUCUGGUGGGUAGUUUGACUGGGGCGGUCUCCUCCUAAAGAGUAACGGAGGAGCACGAAGGUUGGCUAAUCCUGGUCGGACAUCAGGAGGUUAGUGCAAUGGCAUAAGCCAGCUUGACUGCGAGCGUGACGGCGCGAGCAGGUGCGAAAGCAGGUCAUAGUGAUCCGGUGGUUCUGAAUGGAAGGGCCAUCGCUCAACGGAUAAAAGGUACUCCGGGGAUAACAGGCUGAUACCGCCCAAGAGUUCAUAUCGACGGCGGUGUUUGGCACCUCGAUGUCGGCUCAUCACAUCCUGGGGCUGAAGUAGGUCCCAAGGGUAUGGCUGUUCGCCAUUUAAAGUGGUACGCGAGCUGGGUUUAGAACGUCGUGAGACAGUUCGGUCCCUAUCUGCCGUGGGCGCUGGAGAACUGAGGGGGGCUGCUCCUAGUACGAGAGGACCGGAGUGGACGCAUCACUGGUGUUCGGGUUGUCAUGCCAAUGGCACUGCCCGGUAGCUAAAUGCGGAAGAGAUAAGUGCUGAAAGCAUCUAAGCACGAAACUUGCCCCGAGAUGAGUUCUCCCUGACUCCUUGAGAGUCCUGAAGGAACGUUGAAGACGACGACGUUGAUAGGCCGGGUGUGUAAGCGCAGCGAUGCGUUGAGCUAACCGGUACUAAUGAACCGUGAGGCUUAACCUU